GUUUGGUUCGACGUCAUAUGGUUGAGAUUCUUUUUUUUGGCGGAUAUUAUCCAUUUCGCGCCAAGGAUAGCAGCGCCCAUUCAUUCAUCGGCGGUUCCAGACCUCCAGUAAUGCUUCCGAGCCCGUGCAGCCCCUUCUACCGGCCGGUACCGCCGGUUUCGCUCAUUACCUGCCGCGUAUCUCCAGGCGUACCGCGCGCCUCUCCUCCUCCUCCUCCUCCUCCUCCUCCUGUUCUUCCACCACCCGCUCCGCUAGCGAGCCUCAACACAACCACCGUUCCCGCGCUAACGUGCGCCCUCCAGUGCGUUCACUUCCAAUCGUGCUCUGGGUGCACGCAAGAGUUCAAUCUCCACCGUCCAGUCAUCGUUGACGAGGCUGCUGAGUUUUUUAAGAGCCUUGGUAUUUCGGACUUCACUUUUGAUAGCUCUAGAUUGUGGGGAUGGAGGUGUCGCGCAAAACUGGCUGUUCGCGGUUCCUCAAAGAACCCUCUGAUUGGACUCUAUGAGGAGGGCACUCAUAAUGUAGUAGACAUUCCCCAUUGCAAAGCUCACCACCCAAGUAUUAAUCUUGCUGUUCAAUUACUGAGACAAGGUCUUACUGAAUUGAAUGUUGAGCCAUAUGAUGAAGAUCAGGGGACAGGUGAUUUACGAUAUGUCCAGAUGGCUGUCACAACUUACAACACUUCUCUUCCUGCCUCAGAAAGAUACAAAAAUGGUAAGGUACAAGUUGCUUUAGUUUGGAAUUCAAGAAAUGAGAACUCUCCUAAUUUUGACAAAUUAAAUGCCUUGGCUAAUUACUUGUGGAGAAAUGGCGGACGAAGGAGUGAUGUAUAUUUCAUUCACUCUGUAUGGGCAAACUUUCAGACAUCUACUAACAACAUUAUUUUUGGGAAUAGGUGGAGGCACCUUUUUGGAGACAGAGACUUCUGGGAACAUCUCGGAGGAAUUGAUAUAUCCUUGGCCCCAUCCAGUUUUGGACAAGCAAAUACACGGGCUUUUGAUGCUUUGCUGCGAAAAUUACAAAAAUAUGUAUCUCUUGGAGCAUCUGUUGCUGAUUUAUAUGCAGGGGCUGGUGUGAUUGGGUUAUCAUUGGCUGCCACUAGGAAAUGCAGAUCUGUUAAAUGCAUUGAGGUUAACAAAGAGUCAAAACUAUCUUUUGAGAGGACAGUUGAACGCCUCCCAAAGUCCAUAGAUACCAGCAUCAGUUGGCAUCAUGCAGACGCGUCAGUUGAACCUCUUUCUUGGAUCAUGGGCUCUGAAGUAGUUGUUGUGGAUCCUCCUAGAAAGGGACUGGACUCGUCUCUUGUUGAUGUGUUACGGACUAUUUCAUCGUUAGAACAUAAAGCCAAGUCAUCAUCUGAAUGCAGUAACUCAAAUAUCAAGGAUGAAAAAAGACCAUGGAUUUUACGUGCAAGGGAAGCCUUGGUGGAAAUCAGAGGGAAAGCUACUUUGAAGGACCCUCAAUCACUACCUCGAACUCUUAUUUAUAUAAGCUGUGGAUGGGAAAGCUUCAAAGAGGAUUGCACAUUAUUGUUGUCUAGCAAAGAAUGGCGUUUGGAAAAGGCUCAUGGUUUCAAUUUCUUUCCUGGUACCCAAAGAAGCGUCAUUGUGGAGUUAGGUCACCAUCUCAAGGUGACAUUUAAGUCUCACCGCCCACCCAAGAAGGAAGGUCCCUUGCCGGCGACCUCACCCAGAAAAUUCGGUCACCAGAAGACCGGCGAGUGAGGCUUACGCGCCGAUACAAGCUCUUGUUCCCGUCCCACUCGCCCACGAGUGGAGGCGUGUCUAACGUCCUCUGCCGCUCCGAUUGCUCUCGCCGGCGUCGCCUUGGGUGUAUAUUGCAUCCCUGUUAGUUGUUUUGCCAUAGGGUGUCUUUGUGGAGGUGAUUUGUCUUGGUUCACCUAUUGUUGGGUAUGUUUCUGGCUUUUGUUACACUGAACUGCUUUAAAAUUGUGUCUUGAGGUGUGUUUGCUCUGUGUUUAUUGGUUUGGGAAAGGAGAUUUCUGUGAUUUGCUGUUGUGAAAUUUUUUAAUGGCAGAAAGUAAAAGUGUAAUAGCUGAUGUGAUUCCUGUGAUAACUAAAAUUACGGAAUACAAACUAAAUGGUUCUAAUUAUCUAGAUUGGAGUAAGAUGGUUCGGGUUUAUUUGCGGAGUAUCGACAAGGAUGAUCAUCUCACCUAAGAUCCACCUACUGAUGAUGCAAAACAAACUUGGAUGAGGGAGGAUGCUUGUUUGUUCUUGAAAAUUCGCAAUUCCAUUAACAGUGAGCAUUGAGAUUCUGGCUGUAUUCAAGAGGGGCCAAGGGGCAGGCCUCGAAAAGAAGAAAUCAGGAAAGAAGAAAAAACGAUCAUGAGGAUCAGCAUGGAGUUUCUGUGAUCCCCAGAAGGAUUAUAAAUUGCACAUAGAAGAUGAAGAUGAAGAAGAAAAACCGGAAAAAGCAAAUGACAUGUGACGAGGAACGCCCCAAGAAUGGCUAUAAUGGAAAAUUUAUUAAUUAUCAGACAAGUCUGUUGUAUUCUCUGUUAUAGUGCAAGGCAAAUGGGAUUCACAUGGGGGCAAAAAGGCUUACAAAUGAAUAGCAUUUUAUGUCAAUUUUGUAUCUCACCAAUCUCAUGUGGAGUGUGAUGAAAGAAUGGAAAAUUCAUGGCAAAAACGAAAGGAACACCGAAAUUUGUUGCUUCAAGCAAA